GUUUAAUUAGCUUAUAAAGAGCUUUAUAUUGAAGAUAUAAAAGUGGUUGCUUACCAUUAAACA
rnacentral:tRNA from 1 species